AACUCUUUCCUGAUGAAUCAGAUUGUGAACCUCCGAGCUCGAGGGAUGGUUCCUGUCCACACCCGAUAAUUACUACGACACCCUACAGCAGAAUCUCAAGACGGCCAAGAUCAAGGUGAAGGAGGACCUAAAAACACUGCAGGAGUUAAAAAUCUUUGUAGACUAUGACGAUAAAGGUUACCUGCUACAGAUCUUCACCAAACCCGUGCAGGACAGACCGACGCUCUUCCUGGAGGUCAUCCAGAGGACCAACCACUCUGGUUUUGGAGCUGGAAACUUCAAAUCUCUGUUCGAGGCCAUCGAGAAAGACCAGGAUGCCAGAGGAAACCUCACGGUUCUCACACCGAGGAGCCAGGGCGUCCCGAAGGCCUCUUACUAACACACACAACUGCAUUAAGAUGAUUUACUCAAGCCUCAUGCUGGAGUGAAAUAAUAUGACACCAUCAAUUAAAAUGUCCAGGACGACAAUAAAGACAUUUAAUAU